AUGGAGGAACAUCUUCAACCUGUGCCUGAGCAUGAUUAUUUUGAGCUUUUUUCGAAUGAUACUAGCUCAUAUCCUAUGCCAGAGCACACAUCAACUUUAAAAACCAAGAGGACAUUAUUUUGUUCAGGGAUUGCUUUGAUGGUUAUGUAUUCCUUGACAAUAAAGAUCAGGAAUAUCCUGCUAUCGUAGAAUUUGCACCUUUUCAAAAACCUACAAAAAAGAAGACUAAGAAAAGAGAUACCAAAGUUGGGACUAUUGAUGAUGAUCCAGAAUAUAGAAAGUUUUUGAAAGUUGUGCCACAGAUAAUGAGAAAAUAACAUCUACUCCAGAGACACUGCUAGAGGAAAUAGAAGCAAAACAUAGAGAAUUAAUAGCUAAAAAGACAACCCCACUUCUGAGCUUCCUGAAAAACAAGCAGAGAAUGAGAGAAGAAAAGAGAAAAGAAGAAGGCAAGAAAUAGAAAAAGACAACGAGAAGAGAGGAGGAAAUGGAAAGAAGAGAAAUGAAAAAGAAAAGAUAUAGAAAAGCUAAAGAAGAUAGACAGAAUUUAAGAAAGGGACAAGUUAAAAGAUGAACCAAAGAUUAAGCUACUCAAGAAGCCAGAAAAAGGAGGUGGAAAAGAAUUGGACAAAAGAGACAAAGCCAAGAAACUGGACAAAGAGAAUCUGAAUGAUGAAAGAACCAGAGGGCAAAGUUGGACAUUGCCCAAGCGUUCUGAUAGCAAAUUUAAAGAUGAAAUGCCAGGGCUGGGCAAGAGACCUGAAGAUGAGAGCAGCAGAGACUACAGGGAGGGGGGACGGGAUUAUGAAUGAGAUCAGGGCGCAUACUUUGAGAGAGAGAGGCUGAAGCGGUAAGAGGAAGAGUGCCGUAGGCAGAAGGAACGCUAUGAGAAAGAGAAGACUUUUAAGAGAAAAGAAGAAAUGAAAAAAGAGAAAGAAGUACUUCGGGAUAAAGGAAAGAAGGCUGAAAGUGCAGAAUCAAUAGGCAGUUCAGAAAAAAACUGAAAAGAAAGAAGUGGUCAAGAGAGAUUGCAUAAGAAACAAGGAUCCAGCGAUGUAGCUUUACCAACCAGGAGCUCGAAGCUGAAAUCAACUCUCUGCCCUGAUGACAGCACCGAGUCUGGAAAUUCAGCAAUAGAAAAAAAGCAGGAAGGUGAUAUUAGCCAUAGAAAAGAAGGAGGAGAGGAGUGA